rnacentral:lncRNA from 1 species
GUUCUGGUGAAGGAGGGGCUAAGUCUGUACUGUCCUGAACAUGAACUGGAGAAAGCAUAGGAGGUACUUUUUGAGUGUUUAUUGAGCUAAGAGGCUCACGUGGUUCCAAAGCUCCAUCCAGAGCGUCUCCUUUAGAAACAGAUAGUUUUGGUCGUUUCAUGGGUGGAAAUUCUUCAGCAUCAGGACUUUCUAAUGGUCUCUUGCUCAAGUAAUUUUCAUCAUUAAUUGCCUCAUCCUCUUCCAUAUCUCCCUCUUCUUCCAGUGGCACCUGCAUGGCCUCCGCAGAUGUACCUCCAUCAGUUGGUACUUGUUCCUCUUCCUCUUCUUCUUGAGAAGAGACAAUAGGAGGCAUAUAGUCCGGGAUGUAUUCUUUCCUUUCUUCUGCAUCUUUACUCCCA